GGCCUCGCUCAGUGGGUUAAGGAUCUGGUGUUGCUGUGAGCUGUGGUGUGGGUUGCAGAUGCGGCUCAGAUCCUGCAUUGCUGUGGCUGUGGCGUAGGCCGGGAGCUGUAGCUCCAAUUCGACCCCUAGCCUGGGGACCUCCAUAUGCCACGGGUGUCCUCUAAAAAGCAAAAAUAAAUAAAUAAAUAAUGAAAUAAUGAAAUAAAAAAUAAAAUAAAACAUUCCUGAAAAUAAUUUGGCAAUUCCCAAUAAAUUUUGACAUACACUUACUAUCUAACCCCACUAUCACACUUUUAGGUAUUUAUCCCAGAGAAAUGAGAACUUAUAUUUGUACAAAAUCCUAUGCAGUUUCAUUGCAGCUACAAUUUCACAGCAGUAAAUCUUCAUAGCAGCUUUAUUUGUAAAACCCCCAAAUUGAAAACAACCAGAUAUCCCCCAUUACUCAAUGGGUGAAUGGAAAAACAAACUUUGGUACAGCCAGACAAUGAAAUACCACUCAAGAAUAAAAAUUGGAGUUCUCUUGUGGCACAGUGGGUUAAGGAUCCAGCACUGUCCUGCAGUGGCUUGGGUUCGAUCCCUGAUUCAAGAACUUCCACAGGCCACGGGUGCAGCCAAAAAGAAAAAGAAUAAAACGAAAGCGCUAUUAAAUACACUAAACUUGGCUGGAGCUGAAAGACAUUAUGCUGACUAGAAAAAUGAUUUUAUAGUCUAUGGUCAAAAGGUGUUAUAGUCUAUGAUUCUAUUUAUAGAACCUAUUCAAAAUGGCAAAAUGAUCAUGAUGAAAGGCAGGUCGGUGGUUGCGAGGGUGAGGCUUGGGGAGGGUGUGAUUGUAAAAACGUAGCACAGGCAUUUCUUUGUUGUGAUGGGAGAGUUCUGUAUCCUGAUUGUGAUGUGGUUGCACAUGUAUAUAUGUAUGUAUGAUAAUGUUUCCUAGAACCAAAGAGUGAAAAAAUGAGUGCGUGACAAAAUACGGUGAAAAUCCUAAUAAGGUCCAUAGGUGAGUUAAUGGUAUUGUACUAAUGUCAGUUUUCCUUGCUUGCUAAUCUCCUGUGAAUAUAUAAGAUGUUAUUAUUGGAGAAGUUGGGUGACGCAUACACAGAAUCUCUCUGUAUUAUUUUAGCAACUUUACUGUGAGUCAAAAAUUAUUUCUAAAUGCAGUUUAAAAAGGCUCUCCCUCGAAGUUAUGUUGAGUCAACAUUGACAGGGGUAAGAAGGGGCGAUUGGAGACCACUGAGGAGGCUACUGCCUCAUCCAGGUGAGAGAUGAUGGUGGCAGGGGUGAGGGUGGGAUUGGCGAGGGCGCUCCUACCUGACCCUCUGGACUGUGCAAUAGAGCAGCUUUCAGAAGUGCCAGACACCCAGCCCGUCACUGCACUGCCACCAUCUCUAUCAGCUCAGUCAAUCUCUUGCUCGUUGUUCAUCCUAAGGCUGCUUUCGCCCAUCCUGGCUGCCGUUUGAGUUCCACAGGCACUGUUGGAUACCUGCUUCCUUGUGCCAGCAUUGCCCAAGCCUUCUUAAAUCCUUGCCUUCUACUGUCUGAGCUGCAGUUCUUCUGCCCAUCCAUCAGGAAGGAGACCACCACCUGCCCCAUGUGAUUUGAACUGGACUUUCCCACUGCUGCCCACUGGAGGUGUCACAUUCUGCUCUUCCCUCUGCCUCUAUUCUCCAGAAGCUUCUAAUUCCUUUUCCUCAUCCAUGGGGAAGAGGUCACCCUAGGCAUGUUUUGCAGUAGGGCCUCUCACCUCUCAGCUCUUUCUCAAGAUGCUUUCCUAUCUGAGAAAAGGAAGGAGAUCCUCUCUGUCAAAGUGUUUUCCUGCCUACUGAGCCAGAUUCAUGGUCUGUCUUCUCACCCUCUCUUAGGAAUAUGCUAGCGCAGUGAUCUGUGCGUAAGAACCAAAGUCUCAGUCAUUCCGAUUUCCACCCCCUAUGAUGUGGAAGAUGCAACUGCCCACUUCUGGUUUUGGCAACCAACCCUUCAGGCAUCGCCGUAACAUCAGCACAAUGGCCUCUGGGGCAUCCUUCUCGUGGGAGAUAAAUCUCUCCUCAUUGGUUCCUGGACACAGCCAGGUCCUCCACUGUCCCAGCCUCCUAGAAGCAUAUGCUGAUGGCUUUGUGAUCACGCAGGUAUGAACACAUUGCCAAGGCAGAUAGCCCUGCCAGGUCCCUGAUAUACAGUAUUUACAUUAAGUCCUUGAGCAGUUCUGGACCAUUGAGUCAUAAGUGCAGCGUGUUUUUUAGUAAGGUUGUGAGAAUCCUUGUAUGAGUUUUGAAUCACCAUGGCAUUAUCUCAAAAAACAAUGGUUGGGACUUUUGCCAGUUGCUUCCAAAUGUAGAUUUAACUUUUAUGGAAAAAUAUAAAAGCUUUAGCUUGCUUGGAAAUCUUUCCAUUUUCAUUCUAUGAAAACAAUUUUUAAAAAUCCAAGUAUACGUGACUUCUAGCACUUCAUAACAAUCAUAAAAUUACUACUAGAAAACCAAGAAUAAUGUUUUAAGUCAACAUUAAAAUAUAGCAACACUUUACUUUUUUACUCAUUCUCCCUCCCAAAAUCUAUAUAUUCUCUGUGAUGUUAUUUAAGGUGAAGAAACAUGUCAAAAGUCAUUAAACAAGCACUGAUCAUCCUGUAAGAUGCAAGAUCCAAAGCCAUAGUUUUCACUUCCCUCAUUGAUGCAGUUCUUUCUAGACAUAGCCCAUCCAUCUGUUAUUCUGUUAUAUCCCCUGCCCUCCUGCUAAGAUUUAUCUUUAGUCACAUAAUUUAUUUUUCCCAUCUAAGGAUGGUUGACCCAUUAACAUGUGUAAUAAACUCAUUUGUAUUCCAUCUAUAAUCAUCUGAAUUAUUUGCAUGUUAAAAUUUUUUCCCUCUGCCUGUUUUUCUAAUUUCAUAUUCCCUGGUGCUCACUCUCGGUACAGAGCAGAGAGUGAUGUUUAAUUGCAGGUGUAUCACUUCUGAACCCUGUGUCAUUUUUCUGUCACUUGGACUAUCAAACAGAUUCUUCAACAGUUGUACAUUCAGGAUCUAUCAGUGUUCUUCUUCAUUCUCAUCAUCAGUGUUUUCUCAGACAAUUGGGGUGUUCUCAGCCUAAAUGAGCUUUACAUUCAAUUUUAUCUGAAGCUUUUACUCUAAUUGUACAUUCCACAAAAUUUUACUUUGUUCUCAAAUCAAUUACUACAGAAGUAUAAAUGCAUGGAUAAAAUAUUAGUUUUGAGACAAAACCGGUCUGGAUUGGAAUCCUUAGUUUGCCACCAAAUGGCUAUUCUUGUGAGCACAUUCAAUUUUCUAAAGCUUGGUUCAUCCAUCUCUGAAAUGUAUAUAAUAAAAGCUGCAUAUGUGAAACACUUGGUACAAUGCGUGGCAUGUAGUAGGCACUCAGUAAGUGGCAGUUAUUAUUAUUGCUAUAAUAAUAUUGUUAUAAUAUAUUGUUAUUAUUAUUCCAAGUGCCAUCCCAAACUCAGUGAUGUGAAAUAUAACAGGUUAGCACAUUAUGACAGGAUGGCACUUGCCGUCAUUCUCCUCCCAUGAACGUAGCCUGUGUGUCACACAUUUAUGCUCUAAACGUUAUGCAAAUAGUAUAAAAUUAAACAUUGGAAAAUUAGCAUUAUCUAACUUCUAUUAAAAUUUGGAAGCCAACUAAAUAUAUCUAUUCUGACCAGAAGCUAAGGGUAUAUUUUAGCUUAUGGCACUGACCAUUUAGCACAGUGUAUAAGCAUAUUUUUAUUUUUAAAUAAAAAAAUAUUUUAUGGAAAUAUAGUUGGUUUGCAAUGUUGUGUUAAUUUCUGCUGUAUAGCAGAAUGAUUCAGUUGUGCAUCCGUUUGUAUAUUCUUUAUGUAUAUUCAUUAUGGUUUAUCCCAGGGUAUUGAAUAUAGUUCCCUGUGCCAAACAGUAGGACCUUAUGUUUAUCCAUGCUGUAUAAUAGUUGGCAUCUAUAAGAAUAUUUUAAAAUAUUCAACAUAUUUAAUAGAUAAUGUACAGUAUUGGAUCACAAGUCUUUAAAAUCUAUUUAACAGGUCUGUGACACUGUUAAAAGAAAACUCAUGUGUGCAGGACCCAGAAUGCAGACAAACUAUUAGACUUACAAGAGAGGAAGGCUGGCAGGGUAGGAAGAAAGAUUUAAUGCUAGAGUCUGCUGCUGGUUCUGUUCCCUUGGACAAAUCGCACACCUUCUUACACUUUUGCUUUUUUCUAGAUCACUUGUUUUCUAGGAUUACUUUUUUAUUAACAUCCCCUUGUGAUGAUAGAGGACCAGUUUUUUUUUUUUUCCCAAAUAUCUUCAAAUCUUAUUGGACACUAUAUUCUUCAGGUCACAAGGUGGCUUCAUUUAUUUAAAUGUGGCUUUUGAAGUCUGCAAAUAACAACUCUGUUUUUUAGUAGUAAAAUAUCCUAGCCUCACAAAAUUGUUCCUACUAGCAAACUAGGAGCUUGGAAAUUGACGUUUGGUCUAUGGUUCUCAAAGAAGAGGCUUUAAAAUGUUUCCGUUUUGGGGCCUCACCCCUGACCAGUUGAAUCAGAAUCGCCAGGGGGUGGGACUGAAGCUCUCCACAAUCUGUGGUUCUGGAUGAUUCUGGAUGAUUCAGAUGCACACGGAGGCCAGGCCUAUCUUCAUCUAAAUUUAAUUUCCCUUUCAUUAAAAUAGGAUUUUUUUUUUUUCCCCUGAUAGGGGGCCAUCUGGGAAUGAAUAUCUUCACACUUUCUUGUUGGUAAAAAUCUUCUUUGGUUGAAGAGAAAUGCUUUAACUUGAGAGGCAUCUCUUUGUUUCUUUUAGUAAAUGAGCUUUAAAAUUUAUAGAGAAACUUUAAAAAUCAUCAUAAUCAUAUGUUACUGCUCAGUUCCUUAAGAGACUCUAUCUUAGGCUAGCAAUACAUAAACCAUAACACACACUUGCAAAACAUACGUCUUAGUCUGUUUCGGCUGCUGUAACAAAACUGCCAUAGUCUGAGUGGCUUAUAAACAACAGAAAUUUCUCUCUCGCUGUUCUGGAGGCUUGAGAAGUCCAAGGUCAAGUUGUGGGCAGAUCUGAUGUUUGGCGAGAGCCCAUUUUUUAUAGAUGGAUGUCUUCUCGCUGUGUCCUCACGGGGUGGAAGGGGCAAGGGAGCUCUCUGGGGUCUUUCUUAUAACAGUGCUGGACCCAUUUAUGAGGGCUCUGCCCCCGUGACCUAAUCACCUCCCAAAGGCCCAGCUUCUGAUACUCUCACCUUUGGAGUUAGGGUUUAAACAUAGGUGUUUGGGGGGGCAGGGAUACAGACACAGUCUGUAGCAAUGCAUAUAGAAUUUUCAAAUUAGUAAAAGGCAACUAAAUAUCAGGAGUAAAUAUCCUUGACC
rnacentral:lncRNA from 1 species